rnacentral:miRNA from 1 species
GGUGGCAAGUUUUUCUUUGUAGAAUGAUUAUAUCAUAUCUAAAACAUAUAAUCAUUCUACAAAGAAAAACUUGCCACCAAUAGACU